GAUGAAGAACGCAGCGAAAUGCGAUAAGUAAUGUGAAUUGCAGAAUUCAGUGAAUCAUCGAAUCUUUGAACGCAUCUUGCGCUCCUUGGUAUUCUGAGGAGCAUGCCUGUUUGAGUGUCAUUAAAUUCUCAACUACACUGACUUUGAAUUGGUGUGGCUUGGAUUUGGGGGGAAAAUUGUUGUGGGCUUUUUGUAUAGUCUGCUCCCCUGAAAUUGAUUAGCGGUACCUUUGUGGAACUGUCUACAGGUGUGAUAAUUAUCUACAUCUUAGACAUCUGCUGGAAUGCUGCUUUCUAAACCUUACUUGUAUUGACAAUCUUGACCUCAAAUCAGGUAGGACUACACGCUGAACUUAAGCAUAUCAAUAAGCGGAGGA
rnacentral:misc_RNA from 1 species